UUGGCGGACGGGUGAGUAACGCGUGGAAAACCUGCCGUAUACUGGGGAUAACACUUAGAAAUAGGUGCUAAUACCGCAUAAGCGCACAGCUUCGCAUGAAGCGGUGUGAAAAACUCUGGUGGUAUACGAUGGUUCCGCGUCUGAUUAGCUAGUUGGUGGGGUAAUGGCCUACCGAGGCAACGAUCAGUAGCCGGCCUGAGAGGGUGAACGGCCACAUUGGGACUGAGACACGGCCCAAACUCCUACGGAAGGCAGCAG
rnacentral:rRNA from 1 species